rnacentral:rRNA from 1 species
UCUACGGGCGGCUGCAGUGGGGAAUAUUGGACAAUGGGCGAAAGCCUGAUCCAGCCAUGCCGCGUGUGUGAAGAAGGCCUUCGGGUUGUAAAGCACUUUCAGUGGGGAAGAAAGCCUUGGGGCUAAUACCCUCGAGGAAGGACAUCACCCACAGAAGAAGCACCGGCUAACUCCGUGCCAGCAGCCGCGGUAAUACGGAGGGUGCGAGCGUUAAUCGGAAUUACUGGGCGUAAAGCGCGCGUAGGCGGUCUGAUAAGCCGGUUGUGAAAGCCCCGGGCUCAACCUGGGAACGGCAUCCGGAACUGUCAGGCUAGAGUGCAGGAGAGGAAGGUAGAAUUCCCGGUGUAGCGGUGAAAUGCGUAGAGAUCGGGAGGAAUACCAGUGGCGAAGGCGGCCUUCUGGACUGACACUGACGCUGAGGUGCGAAAGCGUGGGUAGCAAACAGGAUUAGAUACCCUAGUAGUC